AGAUAUAAAUUUAUGAUUUAAGAAAUUUAUUUUAAGUUUGAUUUAUAUGUAAAUUUUUGUGUUAAUUUUAUUGUAUUUUAAAAAUAUAAUAGUUAAUUUAACAGUAAUUAAAAUUAAAAAUUUAAGAAAUUAAGAUUUAGCAAUUCUAAAAUAAAUAACAAAUUUUGUGCCAGCAGUUGCGGUUAUACAAAAAUUUAAAUAAAUUUUUUUAAUAAUAAUAAAUAAUUAAAUUUAAGUUAAAAAUAAAAUUAUUGAGUGAAAUUUUAAUUUUUUAAAAAAAAAAUAAAUUAAAUAUGAAUUAAGAACUUUUAUUGAUAAACUAGGAUUAGAUACCCUAUUAUAAAAAAUUAAUUUUUAAAGUAUUAAAAUAGUAAAUAAUUUAUAUGUUGAAACUUAAAUAAUUUGGCGGUAUUUUAGUUCAUUUAGAGGAAUCUGUUUAUUAAUUGAUAAUCCACGAAUAAUUAUAUUUAAUUUAAAAUUUUAUAUAUCGUUGUUAAAAAAAUAUUUUUUAAAAAUAAAAAUAAUAUUUUAAAAUUUUAAAUAAAAAUUAAUUCAGAUCAAGAUGUAGAUAAUAAUUAAAAUUAAAAUGGAUUACAAUAUAAAAAUAUAAAUGGAAUAUAAUUUUGAAAUAAUUAUAGGAAAGUGGAUUUAAAUGUAAUUUUAAAUAAUUUUUUAAAAUGAUUUAAAAUUAAAAUAUGUACAUAUUGCCCGUCACUUUCAUUUAAAAAUUGAAAUAAGUCGUAACAAAGUAGGAGUACUGGAAAGUGUUCCUAGAAAGA
rnacentral:ncRNA from 1 species